AACAAUGCUGCUUCUACAGCUUCACUCACAAUCUAACUUCUAAUGGACAAAACUCUUCCAGACUCCAUGGAAGCAACAGCCCCACCAUGCGGCGCAGACCCGAUGGAGGCUACAGCCCCAUCAUGCAGUGCAGCCUCCAGCUUCCGGCCCAAGGAACCCUCAACUGCUGCCCAUGACUCCAUGGAAGCGGCAGCCUCACCGUGUGGCGCAGACCCCGUGGAGGCUACAGCCCCAUCGUGCAGUGCAGCCUCCAGCUUCCGGUCCAAAGAACCCUCAACCACUGCUCAUGACUCCAUGGAAG